AGCGAACGCUGGCGGUAUGCUUAACACAUGCAAGUCGAGCGCGAAAGUGACUUCGGUCAUAAGUAGAGCGGCGGACGGGUGAGUAACACGUGGAUAAUCUGCCUUUAGGACUGGGAUAACCCUGGGAAACUAGGGCUAAUACCGGAUAAGACCACAGGUUCCAUGGAACCAGGGGUAAAAGGCGGCCUUCGGGCUGUCGCCGAAAGAUGAGUCCGCGUCCCAUCAGGUAGUUGGUGAGGUAACGGCUCACCAAGCCGAAGACGGGUAGCCGACCUUAGCGGGUGAUCGGCCACACGGGGACUGAGACACGGCCCCGACUCCUACGGGAGGGC
rnacentral:rRNA from 1 species